CAAGGUACAAAAAUGGUAAAGUAAAUAGUAAGAAGUUAUAAAAGAUUUAAAUAAAAUAGCAAGCACAAAAAUGAAAAUAUGAAGAUAUGUUAUUCCCAAGUAUGGAACUCAUCCCACUAAAGCAAGUGAAAUUGCUUCCUCUCCACUCGGCCACUUAUGUCCAUUUGUUACCUUAACAACAACUUAAAUAUAUAAAUAGGCAUAGAUAAAGAUAAAUUUAAAAUAAAAAAAAACUAGCUAAAACGAUAUGGGCCUGGGUCUGUGAAGAUUUGUCUCACCAUUAAUGGUCCAAACACAAAAAUAAGCAAAGGAGACUAACAGACCAAAACCCUAGUCGCCUGGCUGUUGGGUAUGGACUAUGAAGAUUCCCAACACUAGUAAUUGCUGUCAGUAAUUAAUAAAAGGUUAAUGCAAAAGAAAACCAACAGGUAGACUUAAAGAGGGCACAGUAAAAUAAAAGAUGACAUUAGAUGGAAUAAAGUUAUUCCCAAAACCAUUAAUCAUCACAGAGAAGUAAAGUAAACUUUUUAAACAAAAAAAAAUCAGAAGCUAUAACCAUGGACGAAAGAGGAAGCGGGAGAAACAGGGGAAUGAUCGUCCCUUUCCUUCGAUCAAAAGGUUUUUCUCUCUCAUAAACAAAACCGAUUCCCUUCUCCACUUACAGUUACAAAGAAACCUUCACAACACAAUUCAAACAUCGGCUAAGAGUAAGAUUCGAGAAUGGCACUAACCAGCUGCAACGAAGUCGGCCAACGAAUGAGCAGGUAAGAGUCUUGCUGAAUCUUCUUCACAAUGUUCCUUUCCUACGGGUUCGUCCGUUAUCAACCACCGGUCACUUUUGGUUAUUGAAAUUUUUAGGGUUUCUCCUCUCUCUUCAGUAGCCGUCAAUACUCUUCUCUAGGGUUUUUUCGUGGUCGUCCUCUGGUGGAGGAGGAGGCUCCUUUUAUACUCACCCUGUUUAGGGUUUUUGAGCUGGCUAUGGAGAUCAAAAGGGUAAUGCUUUUGGAAGUGCUUUAGGGUGCUCACAGUUUGUCUACAUUAUUCGGUGUUUGAUCUGGAACAGG
rnacentral:lncRNA from 1 species